UCAAAAUUCACCUAUGCUGAAACUUUCUGCAUCAAUAUGCGUUUUGAACCUUUCUAAGUCGAUCUAGAUUGAAAUUUUUUUUUUGAUUUGCCCGAAAUUUUCUAAGUCUGACUUUGGUUUAUAAAGGCAGCACUUGCCUUGCGAUAGUAACUUUUAGUUUAUAGUUGAUUCGAUCACGAAGCCAGCGAACGGCUAAGCGUAGUAGAAAGUAUAUUAAAACACGGCUAAGCAUUUCUUAUAUCAAAAUGCGCAUUAAAAUUCCCCUGUGCCAAAACUUACUGCAUCAAUAGGAAGUUCUGAAGCAUCCUAAGUGGAUUUAUAUCAAAAUAUGUUUGUAAGUCAAACUCUUUGUUCGCAAUUUUCCAACAGAAUCUCAGCUUAGUUGACUCAAUAAUCCGGGUAGCAGGUUAGCAUAGUACAAAGCAUAAUGAAGGACGGGUUAGCAUUUCUUAUAUCAAAAUGCCCUUUAAAACAACCUCGUUCCCAGAGCUUUUCCCUUUGCUUUAAAAUUCCCCUAUGCCGAAACUUUCUACAUCAAUAUGCGUUUUGAACCUUUCUAAGUCGAUCUAGAUCGAACAUUUUUUUUCGAUUUGCCCGAAAUUUUCUAAGUUUGACUUUGGUUUAUAAAGGCAGCACUUGCUUUGCGAUAGUAACUUCUAGUUUUUAGGUGACUCGAUCCACAAAGCUGGCAAACGGCUAAGCGUUGUAGAAGGUAUAUUAAAACACGGCUAAGCACGCCUAAGCAUUUUUUAUAUAAAAAUGCGCAUUAAAAUUCCCCUGUACCAAAACUUUUUGCAUCAAUUAAUAUGCGUUCUGAACCUUUCUCAGUCGGUCUAUAACAAAAUUUUUUUUCAUUUUGCCCAAAAUGAGAUUCACCUCAUAAGAUAAGCGAGUCACAACAAUGUACUUGUGUUUUUAAUUUUACGAGAAUUACAUGUCGUCCACUGAUGGUUUAGUGGUAUGUUGUUUGGCCUGUCUCGAUAAAUUUACAUUUGAGUUCAAAUCCAGUUGAACUCAUGUUUUGUAGCGGACUCACAAUAUUUUUUUUCCUUUAUUUAUUCUGGCUAUUUUUUAUUCUUUUUAUACCUCUAUGUGCAAAGUCCGUUGACAAGUUUUUCUUUAUUUUUUGUUUAUUUUUCACUGUUUUGGGUUUUCUAGUGUUUUGAAUAAAAUUCCCGCCUAUUUGCAAAACAGGAGUUCACAAUCCUGUUGAAAAUGUGUUUCAGCGGUCGUUACUCGCUGCUUACUUUAUGUAAUUUUCUGUUUAAACGCCCAACGCACAGUUAACUACGUGAUUAGUUAACUAUCCGACUAACUACGUUUUGUGCAACGCAGUUAAGUCGUGUAGUUAACUAAUUACAGUUAAGGAUUUAACUAGAGCGAUUAACGCUAACUACAGUUAGCGCUAAUUACGUUUUUAUACAACCGGCCCCCGAUUUGGGUAUCAAUUUCCCGUUUGUAAUCUAAAAUGACUGAAAAUUGCAAACUUCGCAAGGCUAUAUUAUCCAUGGCCAGAAAUUCAGGACAACAUGGCGAUUAGCAUACGCAAUGUGCUUCCUCAUUCAUUAUUCAAGAUGGCUGAUUUAUAAUAGAUUAAGUAUUGCAAAAUAUUUUUUUUAGCAAUUUCCAACGUUUUUUGUACAUAAGUCCGACCUCUGCACGUCGAAAACAUCAUUUAAUUACUCGAUCCUUUAACCGAAUAAAUUUCAGAACAGUUCAAGUAGGGCAACCCAGUUCCCG
rnacentral:lncRNA from 1 species